rnacentral:tRNA from 1 species
GUUUUAAUAGUUUAAUAAAAACAUUGGUCUUGUAAACCAAAAAUAAGAUUUUUUUUAAAACU